rnacentral:tRNA from 1 species
GCCGAAGUGGCGGAACUGGUAGACGCGCUGGCCUCAGGAGUCAGUGGAGCUCGUCUCCGUGGGGGUUCGAGUCCCCCCUUCGGCACCA